rnacentral:lncRNA from 1 species
UUCUUCCCUAUUUAUCCUCCCCUCUCAAUAUACACACAUUUAAUUUGCUUCUCCUGUUGGAAACUUGUUUUAUGGCUAAGCAACCAUAAAACACAAAAGCUGUUCAUCAUGUACCCUUUAAAUAAGGGCUGAAUUAAGAAGUUAGUAGGUAUCUCUGGGACUCAAACAUGUUUCUCUGGUUCCUAUUAUGUUCUGGCUAUAUCUUCCAUUCCUAGUCAAGGAAUUACUUUAUAAGGAAAGUGAUAGUAUGAGGAAUUCUUUUAGAGUUUUUUUUUUUUUUUUACCUCAACAACCAAAUCUAUUUUAAAAUGUUAGAUCACUGAUCAUAAAUGGCCCAAAGCAAAAUUUCUUUAAUGGCCUGUUUAAGUGCAAACAGCUUUAAUGUAUCUUAGAGUAAUGAUUCCUUUUGUAACCCAGUUUGACUAAAAUUUGUUUGUUAACAGCUAUGAGUUUUGAAUUCUGUUGCUGUUCAUCAAUAACUUCUUAAGUUCAUUUGUAUUCUUCCGGUUACUCUACAUCUACUGUUCAUCGUCUGAAAUGGUCAUCAAAAUGUAAUAAGUUGAUCGAAGAGUCUCAGAGAUUACUCUUUAGAAUAAGCUGAUUUCUUUUAUGAAACAUGCAUCUGUAUUUGACUUUGUAAGAUAAUAAAUUCACGAAAAACCCAAUUGGGACUUCUAACAUACUCUUCUACAAUAUAUGAAUUUUAGACUAAAUAAGACUAUAAUAUUCUGAUCUUCAAAUGGAAGCCACAUUCCCAUAGGAAAUGAGAUACUAAACUAUUAAUCGCUUACCCAGGUUUCUCUGCCUACUAUGGCAUCACUGCAUCACAGUCUAAGCACUGUAAAACAUUACAAUUUAUGGUCACAUAAAUGAAAUUUUCUAGAUGUUCUUCAACUAGUCUACUAUGCAAUGUUUCUGAUUGUUUUUAAAACAGAAAACUUCUUCACAUUGGACCUGAGAAAAAGACAAUGUCGAACUCAAUGUAUAAGUCAAAAAUACUGUCACAAGCACUGCUCUAAGGUUUUUAAUGUUUUAAAAUAUGGGAACAAACUAAAUAGCUAUGAUAAGUAAAACUAUUAACAAUGAUUUUCUCCCUCUUUUUAAAAUAUAUAUUUUUUUAUUUUUUUUAUUUUUUUAUUUAUUCAUGAUAGAUAGAGAGAGAGAGAGAGGCAGAGACACAGGCAGAGGGA